rnacentral:rRNA from 2 species
AACCUGGUUGAUCUUGCCAGUAGUCAUAUGCUUGUCUCAAAGAUUAAGCCAUGCAAGUGAAAGUAUAUGCAUAUUUUAUAUGUAGAAACUGCGAACGGCUCAUUAAAACAGUUAUAAUCUACUUGACAUUUUCUAUAUAAGGAUAACUACGGAAAAGCUGUAGCUAAUACUUGCUUUAGCACUCUUGAUUUCUUUCUUGAGUGUGUACUUGUUAAGCCUUAUAAGAAAAGAGUUAUUAACUUAAGGAAUUAUAACAAAGAAGUAACACGUAAUGGAUUAUUCCAUUUUUUAGUGUGUAUCAAUCGAGUUUCUGACCUAUCAGCUUUUGAUGUUAGGGUAUUGGCCUAACAUGGCUAUGACGGGUAACGGGGAAUUAGAGUUCGAUUCCGGAGAGGGAGCCUGAGAAAUAGCUACCACAUCUAAGGAAGGCAGCAGGCGCGUAAAUUACCCAAUUCUAAAGAAGAGAGGUAGUGACAAGAAAUAACAAUACAAGGCCAAUCUGGCUUUGUAAUUGGAAUGAUGGGAAUUUAAAACCUUCCCAAAAUUCAAUUGGAGGGCAAGUCUGGUGCCAGCAGCCGCGGUAAUUCCAGCUCCAAUAGCGUAUAUUAAAAUUGUUGCAGUUAAAACGCUCGUAGUUGAAUUUCAAAGAAUCGAUAUUUUAAGUAACGCUUCUAGCUAUAAAUCCACAUAACUGAUGCCUCCGCGUAUCGACUUUGUGCGCAUUUUAGCUAUUAUGUGUUCUUUUAAUUAAAAUGAUUCUUUUUAAGAUUCAUCUAUUAAAAAUUUGCUUCGGCAUAAUUUUUUUUGAUGAUCUUGUUACUUUGAGUAAAUUAGAGUGUUCAAAGCAAACAGAUAUAGCAUUUGUGCGUUUGAAUACUACAGCAUGGAAUAACAAAAUUGAACAAGUCAGAAUUUUUUUGUUCUUUUUUCUUAUUUUGGCUUAGUUACGAUUAAUAGGAGUAGCUUGGGGGCAUUUGUAUUCAGAUGUCAGAGGUGAAAUUCUUAGAUUUUCUGGAGACAAACAACUGCGAAAGCAUUUGCCUAAAAUACUUCCAUUAAUCAAGAACGAAAGUUAAGGGAGUGAAGACGAUCAGAUACCGUCGUAAUCUUAACCAUAAACUAUGCCGACUAGGCUUUGGAUGAAAGAUUUUAAAAUAAGAGUUUUUCUUUUCUCUCCGGAGAUUAGAACUCUUAGAUUGCUUCCUUCAGUGCCUUAUGAGAAAUCAAAGUCUUUGGGUUCUGGGGCGAGUAUUCGCGCAAGCGAGAAAGUUAAAAGAAUUGACGGAAGGGCACCACCAGGCGUGGAGCUUGCGGCUUAAUUUGACUCAACACGGGAAAACUCACUAGUUUAAGACAAGAGUAGGAUUGACAGAUUAAUAGCUCUUUCUUGAUUUCUUGGAUGGUGAUGCAUGGCCGUUUUUAGUUCGUGAAUAUGAUUUGUCUGGUUAAUUCCGAUAACGAACGAGAUCUUAACCUGCUAAUUAGCGGCAAAUACGAUAUAUUCUUAUGUAGAAUUGAAUAUAGUGGAUUUGUUGGAUUUUGAAGAAAAUAUUGGAAUUACGUUAAAUGUGAUUCCUUUCCCUUUUCUACUUAAUUUACAUUUCCAUCUAUUUCUUUUUUGCGUAUGAAUGUAUUUGCUUGAUUGUAAAGCUUCUUAGAGGAACGAUGUGUGUCUAACACAAGGAAGUUUAAGGCAACAACAGGUCUGUGAUGUCCUUAGAUGAACUAGGCUGCACGCGUGCUACACUGAUAUGUAUAACGAGUUACUAAAAUUACGAUUUUAGCUGCUUGCAGUUUAUUUCGUACUUUUCCUCCACUGAAAAGUGUAGGUAAUCUUUAUCAAUACAUAUCGUGAUGGGGAUAGAUUAUUGCAAUUAUUAAUCUUGAACGAGGAAUGCCUAGUAAGCAUGAUUCAUCAGAUUGUGCUGACUACGUCCCUGCCCUUUGUACACACCGCCCGUCGCUCCUACCGAUUGAAAGAUAUGAUGAAUUGUUUGGACAAGAAAAAAUUGGAUUAUAUCCUUUUUUUUCUGGAAAAACCGUAAAUCCUAUCUUUUAAAGGAAGGAGAAGUCGUAACAAGGUUUCCGUAGGUGAACCUGCGGAAGGAUCAUUA